UACGUAGGGGGCAAGCGUUGUCCGGAAUCAUUGGGCGUAAAGCGCGUGUAGGCGGCCAGGUAAGUCCGUUCUGAAAGCCCGGGGCUCAACCCCGGGAGGCGGAUGGAUACUGCUUGGCUCGAGUCCGGAAGAGGCGAGUGGAAUUCCCGGUGUAGCGGUGAAAUGCGCAGAUAUCGGGAGGAACACCAAUGGCGAAGGCAGCUCGCUGGGACGGUACUGACGCUGAGACGCGAAAGCGUGGGGAGCAAACAAG
rnacentral:rRNA from 1 species